rnacentral:misc_RNA from 1 species
AAGGAGCAUCAACUGGCUCGGAUCGACCCCCGUGCGGGGUGUUCGGGUCGGUGGCCAUCAUCGGCGGCGAGUGUUCGUCGGAUGGCUGCUCAUAGAUGUGGAGCACUGGCUACUCAGCUCGCCGCUCGUGCGUGCCGGCAAGUACCGCCCCCUCCGGGGGAGUGGGAACGGCGGUACCGGGCGGGUGGGGAGCUGAACACGCUGUUGAGUCCUGAGGAAACGGGCGCGAGCCCGGUGACUCGGACUGCGGGACCAGGACCGCAUGACUUUCAACGGGUCACGGCCUGGUGGGCCCGGUUGUUUUUUGAGAACUACACAGUGGACGCGAGCAUCUCUGGUGAGAUCGGAACUCGUUUCGAGUUUUGAUCUCAUCUGCGAUUUGUUUUGAUCGUUUUGU